ACCGCGGUAGCCCAGUUAGUAGUGUCGUCGGCAGUACAGAUGCCGAAGUUCGCAGGUUCAAAUCCUGCCUGCGGUG